CCUACGGGGUGCAGCAGUGGGGAAUAUUGCACAAUGGGGGAAACCCUGAUGCAGCGACGCCGCGUGAGUGAAGAAGUAUUUCGGUAUGUAAAGCUCUAUCAGCAGGGAAGAAAAUGACGGUACCUGAUUAAGAAGCCCCGGCUCACUACGUGCCAGCAGCCGCGGUACUACGUAGGGGGCAAGCGUUAUCCGGAUUGACUGGGGGUAAAGGGAGCGUAGACGGCAGCACAAGUCUGGAGUGAAAUGCCGGGGCUUAACCCCGGAACUGCUUUUGAAACUGUGCAGCUAGAGUGCAGGAGAGGUAAGUGGAAUUCCUAGUGUAGCGGUGAAAUGCGUAGAGAUUAGGAGGAACACCAGUGGCGAAGGCGGCUUACUGGACUGUAACUGACGUUGAGGCUCGAAAGCGUGGGGAGCGAACAGGAUUAGAUACCCCUGUAGUC
rnacentral:rRNA from 1 species